rnacentral:rRNA from 1 species
UACGGGGGGAGCAAGCGUUGUUCGGAUUUAUUGGGCGUAAAGCGCGUGUAGGCGGCUUUGCAAGUCGGGUGUGAAAGCCCUCGGCUCAACCGAGGAAGUGCGCCCGAAACUGCAGAGCUUGAGUACCGGAGAGGAUGGCGGAAUUCCCCAAGUAGAGGUGAAAUUCGUAGAUAUGGGGAGGAACACCGGUGGCGAAGGCGGCCAUCUGGACGGAUACUGACGCUGAGACGCGAAAGCGUGGGGAGCAAACAGG